rnacentral:lncRNA from 1 species
CCACUCUGCCCUUCCACUGCAGUGCCAUCCUGGCUACAGCCCUGGACACAGUCACUGUUCCUUAUCACCUGUGUUCCUCUCCAGUUUCCAUGGUUCAUCUGGCUGACAUGCUGAGCUUCUGUGGGAAAAAGGUGGUGACAGCAGGAGCAAUCAUCCCUUUCCCCUUGGCUCCAGGCCAGUCCCUUCCUGAUUCCCUGAUGCAGUUUGGAGGAGCCACCCCAUGGACCCCACUGUCUGCAUGUGGGGAGCCUUCUGGAACACGUUGCUUUGCCCAGUCAGUGGUGCUGAGGGGUAUAGACAGAGCAUGCCACACAAGCCAGCUCACCCCAGGGACACCUCCACCCUCUGCCCUUCAUGCAUGUACCACUGGGGAACAAAUCUUGGCUCAGUAUUUACAACAGCAGCAGCCUGGAGUCAUGAGGUCAGUGUAACGGUUGCUCCUGCCCUUCUUGCCAACCGCAACCCUCCCUUGACUUCUUACGCA